GGACCAAGGACCUACUGACAACGGGUAACUAGCAAUGGGAUAAACAGUUUUCUGAGAAGGUUAUUUGUGUCUAAAGAGGACACAUUAUGGAGGGGAAUAGAAGUUGAGAUUCUGUCCACUUCAUUCUGAAAAUUAAUGGGAUCCUUCAGUACGGAAAUGAGACGAAUAAUCGCAUGUGUCCAUAAGGGUGAAACUCGCCUGUCUCGCACCUUGUUUGUGUUCAGCAGAAAAGCUGCUCAUUAGGAAUCAGUUUGCCUUUGAUAUGAAUAAGGACUCGCAGCUGAUUCACUCGCAGUGUCUACGGCGCAACUGAAUAUCUCCCGCUAUGGCUGAGUGUCACAAGAACAGCGUAUGACCAGUCAGCCUAUACCUUUUUACGGCACGGGUCCACUGCACCAGGACAAAGGAAAGGAAGAGAGAGCACCUCAGCACCCCACAGCACUCGGACACUCACCACCACUCGUAUUUCUG